rnacentral:rRNA from 1 species
UACAGAGGGUGCGAGCGUUAAUCGGAAUUACUGGGCGUAAAGCGCGCGUAGGCGGCUUUGCAAGCCGGAUGUGAAAUCCCCGGGCUCAACCUGGGAAUUGCGAUGGAGACUGCAAGGCUUGAAUCUGGCAGAGGGGGGUAGAAUUCCACGUGUAGCAGUGAAAUGCGUAGAGAUGUGGAGGAACACCGAUGGCGAAGGCAGCCCCCUGGGUCAAGAUUGACGCUCAUGCACGAAAGCGUGGGGAGCAAACAGG